rnacentral:lncRNA from 1 species
CUUUCGUUCAGCCCGGACACUAAGAUCCAGCGCCCAGGGCCUUCUCGCGAUUCCCUCAUUGCGAGAAAUGAGGUUACAGGGAACCAGACAGAGGGCCUUCUCGGUAGUGGCUCCCGCCCUGUGGAACGCCAUUCCAUCUGAUGUCAAGGAAAUAAACUACUGUCAGACUUUUAGAAGACAUCGGAAGGCAGCCCUGUUUAGGGAAGUUAAUAUUUAAUGCUGUAUUGUUUUUAACACUCGAUUGGAAGCAGCCCAGAGUGGCUGGGGAAACUCAGCCAGAUGGGAAGGGUAUAAAUAAUAAAUUAUUAUUAUUUUGAUUAUUAUUAUUUAUCUGAUGCUUAAAGGUCUGGGUAUAUAUAUAUAUAUAGAGAAGGCAGAUCAAUAUGUUGAUCUAACCAGGCCUGAAUGUAACUUUCCUCACAAGUUGGCCCUUUUAAUUUGUUGGUGAAUCCAUAAAUUGAAGAGUCAAGACUUUCUCCUCCCCAUCCCCCGCACCCGGCUCCCUCUUCUUUCAUUUCCCUGAGCUGUAAGUCCACCUGUCACCACUCCAGUAAAAUUACUGGAAUUUGUCUUUGCCUUUUCUCUGCCUUUCAUGAAUACCCUAUUCAUGCCAUAAUCACUUCCUAUCUCAUCUGCUUCAAUUGCAUUGCAAAUAUGGCCUUUCUUUCAAAAUCCUUCCCUUCUAAGAUAUAAACUCCAUCUCACUGGAGUAUGAAUGGCUGGAUUCUGCCAAGAGAACUACUGAAAAGGGGAACAGAGGCUUCUCUUAGGAAUGUGUGGCGCACCAAGCAAAAGGUAGCCCACGAGCUUGCCAGGUAUCUUGCAACCCCAUUUUUGUAAUCAUGGGUGAGCAAUAAAAACAGAAGGUUCACCAAGCUCCUGAGAGGGUGCAUACAUGCCCAGUGGUUCUCUGGAUUGCAGGUCCACAUUGCAAGAAAGCCCAAGAUCUGCCCAAACCCUAUCAGGUGGGUUGAUGUAGCCAUGAGAGGGUUAAAUUUAGAAGCUCUUUAUUUCUAAGAGCCAUUGACAGGGAGAGCCAACUAAUUCUAAUUUUGUCCCCAUACUCCCCCUUGGAUUUGGAUUUGAUAUCCCGCUUUAUCACUACCCGAAGGAGUCUCAAAGCGGCUAACAAUCUCCUUUCCCUUUCUCCCCCACAACAAACACUCUGUGAGGUGAGUGGGGCUGAGAGACUUCAGAGAAAUGUGACUAGCCCAAGGUCACCCAGCAGCUGCAUGUGGAGGAGCGGAGACGCGAACCCGGUUCCCCAGAUUACGAAUCUACCGCUUUUAACCACUACACCACACUGGCUCUCCCUUGGCCUGGUUGCAAGAAGGCAAGCAGGUGUAAAUGGCUGGGGGGGGUGCAGAUUGAAGUUGGAGGGGCAGUGCCCCAUUUGCCCUAAUGGACAAGCAUCCACUGGGGAUCCCAAACGUUCCCCAAGGUACAAAAAAAUAUUUAGGAAAAAACCCUUUGGGGGGGGGGGGGAGAAAGACCCACUGGGGUCUUGGAGACCAUGCAAUGCUGCCUGGUACGCAUGAGUUAAAAGUAGACUGCUAGAGAAGGAGCAGAAAGAGAGUUGGCUGGAACCCUGAACAGGUCCCCCUCAUAUUUGUUAAAACAAAGCACUGCUUUUUGCAACCCACUUAAAGCAAACACGCUUCAUAAAAAACACAUAUUGAGUUAGCUGAAAUUUGCUUGGAAUCCGUUUAUGCCAACCCUGGCCUCCCUCCCUCAUUCUCCUUCCCCCCCGCUCUCCACAAUCCCAUAAGCAAAGGAUCAACGUGUUGCAUAUCCUUAAUGGGCAUGACCAGUGGAAGGAUUAAGGUAAGGAUCUCAGCAGUCGUCAAAGUUCUGAACAAAUGUUCAUGUUUGCAUUGUUCCCCCCAUGUCUUCACCUCGUUUAACAGGAAAGGAGGGAUUUUGUUUCUCCACUCUUACUAUGCUCCCUCUAUUUCCCAGAGACUGGCUGACUGCAACAGUGACUGACAGCUUGAGUCAGCAGUGCAGCUGGCUUUUAAGAACGGAGGUAUGGAAGACAAGGCAGCUAACCCAUGAUGGCUACGUUUGACCACAAUUGUUGGAGGCAGGAUGGUCUGAAAACCAGCUCCUGGGAAUCACAAGGAGGGAGAGUAGCCAGGGAGUGCUCCUGGGUCCACUUUCAUUGCCAGAGCGCCAGGUGACCUCAGUGACUAGGAGCGCCUUCCACUAGCUUUGGCUCGUAAGACAUCUGGGGCCAUUUCUGGACUGGGGUAGCCUGACCACUGUUGCCCAUGCACUGAUAACCUCCAGGCUGGAUUUCUGCAAUGCCACACCUUCCAAGUUUCCCUAUCUUCCCGGGACAGUCCUGGUUUUACAGAAGCCAUCUUCAUUUCUGAUUUGAACCUGGAAUGUCCCACUUUUCCUUAGGACGUUCCUAUUUUCAUUGGAGAAAUGUUGGAGGGUAUGGAGCUAUGUGACCCCUGAGACAAAGAGAUAAGAAAAUAUACAACCUUUAGAAGACAUCUGAAGGCAGUAUUAUGUUUUUUAUAUAUGUCGGAAGCCGCCCUGCAUGACUGGGGAAACCUAGUUAGAUGGCCAGUGUGCAAAUAAUAAGAUUAGUAGUAGUAGUAGUAGUAGUAGUAGUAGUAUUGAAUAAAAAGGUAAAGGUAAAGGACCCCUGACAGUUAGGUCCAGUCACAGUUGACUCUGGGGUUGUGGCUCUCAUCUCAUUUUACAGGCCAAGGGAGCCGGCGUUUGUUCACAGACAGUUUUUCUGGGUCAUGUGGUCAGCAUGACUAAGCCGCUUCUGGUGCAAUGGAACACCGAAACCAGAGCAGCACAUGGAAACGCCGUUUACCUUCCCGCCGGAGCGGUACCUAUUUAUCUACUUUCACUUUGACGUGCUUUCGAGCUGCUAGGUUGGCAGGAGCAGGGACCAAGCAAUGGGAGCUCACCCUGUUGCGGGGAUUCGAACCGCCGACCUUCUGAUCAGCAAGUCCUAGGCUCUAUGGUUUAACCCACAGCGCCACCUGCGUCCCUUUAUUCCCACCAAUUAUAUUUGGCGUGCUUUUGAACUGCUAGGUUGGCAGGAGCUGAGUCUGAGCAACGGGAGCUCACCCCGUCGCGGGGAUUCGAAUAGGACAUCCCUAUUCUCAUCUGAGAAAUGUUGGAAGGUAUCCAAUCUGCUUUAUAAAAACAUAAUUAAUUGAUAAUCACAGGCCAAGGACACAUCAUAGCUAGACAAAAGCCUUCAAGCAGGGUGUGGUGGGGAGUCAUGCUUUUGAAGGAUGUGCUGGGGAGAGUGGGCAUGGUUUAGGAGGAGUUCUGAGGGCCAGAUAAGGGAGGUCUGGAGGCCUUGGGGUCUAGGGUCCCCCACUCAUGCCUUGCAACACUGGAUUUGCCUCCAAUUUUGUAGAGAAUGGGAAGGACGCGGGUGGCGCUGUGGGUUAAACCACAGAGCCUAGGACUUGCCGAUCAGAAGGUAGGUGGUUUGAAUCUCCACGAUGGGGUGAGCUCCCGUUGCUCGGUCCCAGCUCCUGCCAACCUAGCAGUUCGAAAGCACGUCAAAGUGCAAGUAGAUAAAUAGGUACCUCUCUGGCAGGAAGGUAAACGGCGUUUCCGUGCGCUGCUCUGGUUUGCCAGAAGCGGCUUAGUCAUGCUGGCCACAUGACCCGGAAGCUGUACACAGGUUCGCUCGGCCAAUAAAGCUAGAUGAGCGCCGCAACCCCAGAGUCGGCCACGACUGGACCUAAUGGUCAGGGGUCCCUUUACCUUUACCUUUGUAGAGAAUGGAGAGGAAAAGAGGCACCUUAGCCCUUCUCUGGGAAUUCCAAAAACGUAAAAGGGUAAAGAGAAAAUAGAAUUCUGUGUGUUUUGGAUGCAUCAGUUUUAUCUUCAUCUUCUACACUCUUUGCAGGUGGGUGUAUUGCCAAAUUAUAUACAUAGUUUACUUUCCAUAAGGAUUUCUUAAAGGGGAAAAAAAAGUGGCUUAACAUUUGUUUACAGUUUGCAAAAACUAUUUUAGUGAUUCAUUUUGGCUGGGAGGUGAAAACAAAUCAAAGAUAUAACAGUGCUAUAAAUUCUCUAAGUGAAAUAUAAUUUGAAGGAAGAGUGCAAUUGCUAAAAAUUCACUCCAGGUCAAAUAUACAAUUUGUUGAUUAGGAGGUUGAACAAAUGCUUUUGAUAUUUUUUUUUCAAAGGGAAGAGAUGGUUUCAUUUUAGUUCAUAUUUAUUAUAUGGUAUGUUCCAAAGCACAACUAGCAAUUUCCUGACCUUCCAGCUGCUCUGUCUGUGAUCCUGGGACACACCUGCAGAUCACAGAGUCACAAUUGCUGUAACCUAGUUUUUUUGUGUUUUGUUUUGUUCUCACAUGCCAUCUAGGUCUAGAGGCUUCCAGUGAUUUUCUUCCAAAGCACAGAGAAGAGUUCUAUGUAUCUCAAAGCUAUUUUAAAAUAAUUCAUUUUGUUCCCACCAUCAAGGCAUCAACAAUACUUUGAAUCAUCUAUGAGCUAGAAGACUGAAUUUUUAAACAUUUUAUUAGCACCUGCUAUCCCAGUUUUCAAAUCACAUUAUCAUUGUUGAUGCUUGUGCUCAGGAUACUGUUAAAGUUGUUCAGUGGAAUCCCUGAGCUGGGCCUUGCAUAUGAGCAAUGUCAAAGUUUCAAAGCUUUACCGCAGAACAGUCUUAAAACUAUUUAAAUAUAAACAUUGCAUGGACAAUAUAACAAAGCAACAUGUUGCAAACUAGCAAUGUGGCUCAGUCCUUUAAGUCCUUUAUGGAAUUCUUGGUCCGAGAGAGAGAUUAUAGCUUGUUCAUCAUUGCAAAGUUUCUCUGCUACUGCUGCUGCUACUAGCCAUCUCUGACUUCUCAAGUUCCUUCACCUACUUUGAGAGCUGCAGCUCAGGUUUCCUGUGAUGAGUCAUCAUCACACCAGCCUUCCGCUUUCACCCAGAGUGGAACCUUUCGGUUAAGGUAAAUUUCGGUGAUUAUUAUUUUUUAAGUAUUUUAAAUGUUUUGUUACAAUUAACCAGAACAACUUUAACAAGCAUUGGAGUACUGAGGUGGUCAAAUUACCCAUUUCCAUUUUUGGGUUCACACUUGUUGCAACUAGGAAUAUUGAAGAAGUCUGAUAAAAAUGUAAAUGGGAGGAGAAAUUGCUAAUCUUCGCUUAGUUAAACCAUUUAUGGCCUUUUAAAGUAGUGGGUAUUGUUUUGUUCAUUACUAUGUUUUGUAUUUUUUGUGUUUAUAUUUGAAACCAUCCUGUGAUCCUCGGAUGAAGGGCAGUACAGAAAUUCAACAAACAAACCAACAAAUAUCCAUCUCAUGUCUGGAACGGAAGUCAGUCCAGUGAAUAUGAUCUGUUGUUUUUGUUGUUUUCAGUCUGCAAACGAUAUGCAAUUGAUCGCACACCUCAUUUGCAUCAUGUUUCUUUGCAUUUAAAUGAAUAGGGUGGAAUAACAGUGGCAACAUAAUGUAUAUAAUUUGCAUAAUUAAUUACAUAAAUCAUAUGAGUUAUAUAAGUCUGCUACAGUGGACAGUGAAACAAAUAGUGUAGCUUUUGGUAGAAAACGAACUGCAGUGGUAGAGAAGCAGUGUUGCAUGUGAUGAAUACAGGGUGGAACGGGCAAGCUUCUUACAUCCCUAGUUGCAACACAUUAAAGGCUGAACGAAUCUGUGAACUCAACACAGAGACCUCAACAGUGUCCCACUCAAUACGUGCAGGUGGGCCUGGAUGAGGGCAGAAUGACAUUAUUAUUCUUAAAUUAUUACUUGCUUUAGUCUUAUGGGACAGUGGCCCAGUCACCCUAAUGGACACAAUCCAGGGGGAAGAGGGAGAACUGCAUGUGGUGUUGGUGGCAAUUCAGUGGUCUCCAUCCCCCUUAGUUCCAUUCUAUAAGAACAUAACAAUAUUACAGUGCAAUUUGUCUUAGAGGUCUUUUGCUGUAGUAAACGGCAUAUGAAAUUUGUUAAAUGAAAAAUGCAGGGUGACUAAGUCCCAUUGAGCUCUGUGAGGCAUGCUCUCAGGUGUAAGUGGUGUGGAAUUGCAGUCUCAAGCCCUUCUAUAUAUUUGUGAGACUCACUUUCACAGCUUUUAUGUUCUCCAUUCCUUUUUGCCAAGUUUUGGAGGUGGCGAGCUAUUUUUUGUUUUGUUUUGAUACAUUUGACACUAGAAGUCAAGAUUUCCAGACACUCUUCCCUCAGUGCCAAAGGGUUAAAGAAGAAAGUUGGCUCCUUCAGUAGUUUUUUCCAAGUUUUUAUUGCUCUCUCCUCCACAUAUCCAAAGGAGGGGGGAAACCCCACCGAAUCAAAAUGUACCUAUGUGGAGGUUUUCAAUUAGCUCUUUUCACCCUCAUGAGUGCACAAGAGUACUCUGUGGGAGUACUUCACUGAAGACCUGUUGCUGUUGCUGUUGCUAUUGCUAUUAUUAUUAUUAGUAGUAGUAGUAGUAGUAGUAGUCAUUUGAUGGCUACCUUGAUUUUCUUUUAAGUCUUAAUUUCUCUUUCUAGCACAACGUCAAUUUCAUGGCCAACCUUAUGAAACAAUAUGAAGUAAGCCAUUUCAGGUGGAAGCUUCUAGAAGGGUAGCCAUCUUGCUGCUCUACCUGUGUGUGCUAUGAAAAAAAAUAUGAAUUCCACUCACAUGUUGAGUGGGAUCCCAAUGAAUACCAAGUCCAUGUUGCUUCCCAUGAAACAGUCAAAAUAGGCAGUGUCCUGCUUGGCUUCCUUUCUUGACAAUAGUGAAAAAAUGAUGUAGAAGUUGGAUAUAAAUCCGUAAGUGACCUAAAGGCAGGGAUGGAGAACCUGUGGCUCUCCUUAUGCCAUUGAUCUGCAACUCCCACCAGCCUCAGCCAGGAUAUUGGACUCAGUAUGCUUCUGAAUACCAGUUGUUGGGACAAUCAGUGGCCCCAAGGUCACCCACAAAGCUUUAUGGCCGAUUGGGCCUCCAUUAUCUCAAGUUGAACAAUCCACAUGCUAUAUACAGUUCUAACUCCCCCAGUUUCAUGAAAACGGACUUUCCAAAACUGUAUAUAAUGUGUGUGUGUGCGCACUUCAAUGGAGUAUGUCAUCGCUGCAGGAUAUUUUAAUACAGUUUGAGCUCUUACAUGUUCAAAUCCAGCAUUAGAAUAUUUUAAAAAAAUUAAUGGCUAUUGUUUUAACCUUGUGAUUUUUCUCUGCCGUUAGGAAGAAAAUGAAAUUGUAUCUGCUGAGAUUCAUUGCAGAGGGUAGUGUUUUAAUAACACAGCAUUUCUUUACCCCUCCUCCUUCUUCUCCUCCUUUUCAUUUGAAAAUCUCUCAAGAUUCAGGGGGCAAAAAACCCCUGACUUAAUAUAUGUGCAAAUUACUCAUAGCAUUCACAUCCCUUGUUCCUACAAAGCUGCUCUGAUGACGCUAUUAAAUGAAGGGCAUAUGGCAACCCUUUCGGCCUUCCUGGUUAAUUGGAAAAUGAUUCAGUAACUAUUUAAUAUAAUCUUGUUACUGUUACUAGGGAAAGGGUAGUUUCACCAGCAAUUGUGACUUUAGUUCCCAGAAGAUUAGUUCUUUUGUACCUCUUCCCUCCACCCAAGGAAAAUUCCUGAACUUCAGCCGAUGCAGAGGAACACAUCUACCAGCUGUGAGGCACAUGUAGGAUUACAGCAGGAUUGGCCUGGAAAAGCUCGAAUUCACAAGUAUGGUAAACCAUACUCAGCAUGGUAUCUUAUUUAUUGGGAACUUUACAAAACACUUUCAUCAUAAUUCCUUUCAAAGACAGACUGAGCAUAGCAUGCCUUCUUUAUGCAUUCCUUAUUACAUUAUAAUCACAAGCUGUCUUAGUGAAACAUAAUACUAUAAGCCUAAAUUUUGAAGGAAUGGUGAACAAAGCAUUUUUUUUUUUACAUUGUAAAUUAGCUGCUCUUGUAAUUGAAAUAAUAGAAAUAGCCUGAAUCAAAAAUUGAAGAAUAUGAUUAUUGGGAUCUCUUGUGAAUAUAUGGUGGCUGUCAGGGGUGGGGUGGGGGGAACUUCUUGGAUACAUUUGAGAGCAAGGAAGCCUUGUUCAUGUAUGGUGCAUGACACUAGCUAUAAAAAUAAGAAUGCUUUAGUCACACAACAAAAGCUCAUCAGUCCAAAUAGCCAGGGUUCUGAUAAGCAUUUGUAUAAGGGGUGAGAGACCACUAGCUCAUAGGACAGAGCUGGCCCAUCAACCCUUUCUCAAUAGCCCACCAAACUCCUGCCAUUUAUCUUGGCAACUUCCUGACCCUGCCACACCCCAAUCUGUUCUGGAAUUAAGGGAUCUGUCCAGUAAAGCAUGGGAGGAGACUGAGGGGUCUGCAAAGGGAAUGGGGAAUCAGUGAAAACCACAUCCUCACCACACAUCCAUUUACAAUGGUCUUUGCUGGAUCUAGGUUCUUCCAUUCAUGGGUUAGCAGUCAAUAACACAACUUUCACCUUGAUGAAAUUGCUGCUGCUUGCCAAGUGGUUGCAGUAGCAACUGACUAGGUAUCCACUUAAGUCUUCUGCUCCAAGACCUGAAGCAGCUUGAAUGUGGCUGAUUUGUGUCUUACCAAAGGUGCUUGCACAGCCGUCAUACGCAAUAAUAAUAAUAAUUUAUUAUUUGUACUCUGUCCAUCUGACUGGGUUUAAUCUGAUUGAUUAAAUUUAAGAUGAACGUGAGAAACUGGUCCACAAACCAGGAUAUUUUUUUUUUUUGCAACAGAACCUUGCUCUGUAGGCUUUGUGUGCAGUCCAAACAUAGUGAAAUUGGAGCAAGUGCAUGGCAUGUUAUUUUAUUAGCAGAUGUAUAUACCACUUUUCUUCCAUCGUGGGACCCAGAGAAGUGAACAUAGGGUUUCCAGGUGGUUCCCCCAUCCAGCAACUGAUCUGACCCAAACCUGUAAGGUAGCUGCAUCAUGUACUUAGACUAUGUCCUGGGAAACCACGCAUGAGCAUCUCUGUAUUUAUCCUGAAAAGGGUUGAGACUUGUGUCCAGCUGAACACACACAAAGCCCUCAAAGGCGCUUGGAAAAAGUCCACUGUGUUUCUACCUCUGCUUCCUUCCUCCUGAAGGCAAAGAAACUUGCCUUUGGGCAAAUAAAAGGACAGACGUGUGUGUGUGUGUGUGUGUGUGUGUGUGUGUGUGUCUGUCUUUUGGUGCCUUUUCACCAUUCCAAAAUUAUUUCUCUUGUCAUGUAAAAAGAAGCUGAAGACAGUCCUUGGGGAAAAAAAUCUCACAGUUGUGGAAUGAGAAAUUAUAGGCAUUGGAACACAUUGCAUGGAUGGGCUUGUUUUCUUUCCUUCCGGUUUCUGAUCCAUAAGAAAUGUUUUCAUAACUUUUUUAUCCUUCUGUCUGAAAUCAUAAGGACUGGAAUCAGACUUACAAUGUUUUAACAUCUAUGCAAUGGUGGUUGAAUAGCAAUUGCCUAUGUUGAAUGGCAACUGCAGGAAUUGGUAUGAAUGUGCACAUUACUCAUGAUCCAUGAAGCCUCAGGCCCUCCAGGGACCCAAAGAAGACUUGAAAGGGGUUGAGGCACUGGCUGCUGCAACCAGGAGGAACUUUCACCAACGCCGUCCCCAAUGGAAGAUAUGUCCCCACCAGUCCCCAGCACAAUUUCCAUCUCUUCAAGCUUGCAGAAGUCAGGAGAUACAGAAUCAGGCAGAGACCCACUAAAGAACAUAGCCAGCUUGUUCAGAGAGGCAGUGACUAAUGCAGAAGAGCACUUGCCUAAAUUUAGAAGGCUUCAGGAGGCUUCAACUCUCUGCUGAGGCAACAUUGCCUAAACCAGGGGAAAGAAAAGCUCUUGAGUUCCCUGGGAGCUUUCCAUGGUCCUGAUAUGGUCUGCCUGAACCUGAAUGCACCAUGCUGCAGUUUCCCGAAUCUGCCUUUACCUGAUGUGAUACUACAGAUUGCGACAUUACCUGGUGUGACCUUGUUCACUGAGUCUCUAUAUAAUAAGCUUCAGGCUUCUGCAUAGCAGAGUAACUUUGAGGAAACCUAUGGUUGCAUCAAUAUACUUUGUAUAUGUGGCAUUUUAACAUUGUGUGCAUGAGUAUAUGGGCACAUGACAAUAGGAAGUACGUUGAGAUUGGCUUUCUUUUCUUUUUUGCCAGUAUUUUAUCAAUGCACUGAUCUCACCAGAGAUCAUUUAGAGGAAGAAAAGAGAUGGAGGAAAUGGAAACUGCAGCCAAUAGCUUGUGCUCCAAUCUAGGAAUUACCAUUAGAAAUAUUUCUGGUUAAUUCCACACGUGCAUCCCCCAAGUUAAAUUGGAGUACACUGGAGUGCAAAACGGGGGAAUAGGAGAGUGAAUCAGAAGAGCAGUAAAGGAAGUAUGUAAUGAAUGGAAUUCAUUCAUGCCCAUUUUAACUGUAAGGCUUUUGGGACAUAAACUGGAGCUCUAUCCCUUGAGCCACUUGGUCAAUCCCAGUGGAAUGAGGUGAAGGCAGAGAGAGAAGAGAAGCCCGCGGCCGGACAGAGCAGUCUCUGUUUAGAAGUAUUUAUGGGGCAGAGAAUAUAACUUGAUCAGCUCUCAUCUAGAAGUCUGAAGAGCAGGCCUGGCAUCAGCACAUGGCAGAGUUGGGAGAGAGCCAGAACUGGGCUGUGAUAUACAGACAAGUCUCUGCCUAAUAGUUCUCAUGCAACUAGUUGGAGACUUGCUGUGGUUCUAGUCCUCUCUGAGGAAAACCCAUGGCUGGCAUGGCCAAAGCAGAUUUUCAUGCUUUUGUCUUGAUCUACUUCUUCUCACUUAGAUUUCUCCCUCUGUAAUGUACCAUUCAUACUAUGGGAGAGGAGGGAAGGAGAACUAAAUAUAUGGAUACAGACUAUUUACACUUAUCAUAGAAUCAUAGAAUCAUAGAAUCAUAGAGUUGGAAGAGACCACAAGGGCCAUCGAGUCCAACCCCCUGCUGAGCAGGAAACACCAUCAGAGCACUCCUGACAUAUGGUUGUCAAGCCUCUGCUUAAAGACCUCCAAAGAAGGAUCCACCACACUCCUUGGCAGCAAAUUCCACUGUCAAACAGCUCUUACUGUCAGGAAGUUCUUCCUAAUGUUUAGGUGGAAUCUUCUUUCUUGUAGUUUGGAUCCAUUGCUCCGUGUCCGCUUCUCUGGAGCAGCAGAAAACAACCUUUCUCCCUCCUCCAUGUGACAUCCUUUUAUAUAUUUGAACAUGGCUAUCAUAUCACCCCUUAACCUCCUCUUCUCCAGGCUAAACAUGCCCAGCUCCCUUAGCCGUUCCUCAUAAGGCAUCGUUUCCAGGCCUUUGACCAUUUUGGUUGCCCUCCUCUGGACACGUUCCAGUAUGUCAGUGUCCUUCUUGAACUGUGGUGCCCAGUUAAUAAUAAUAAUAAUAAUGCGCUGUUAAAACAAAACAGACAGACAGAUGGACAGAUAGACAUGCCCUCUUUAACAAGUGACCCUUUACUUCUCAGUCUACACCAUGUUCCAAACUUUAGGUGAUUAACCUAUCACUUAAACCAAGGCUGAGAAACCCUAGGCCCAGAGGCCUCUCUGUAUGGUCCUCAUUCUUCUUCCCAGGCCAUGCCCCUUUCUCCCCAGACUCCACCGCUCACUGGUCCUGCUCUGCAUUCCAAGUGUGGCUGGAAUGUGUCCUUGACCUGUGGAUGUGUGUAAAAACUAGUCUACUGUACAAAGAUAAAAUUUCCAUUUGUUGCUCCACCCACUUCUGCCAAUGGCCCAACCCACCACUGGCAUGUGAUCCUCAGAAGGUUGAGAGUCCCAUGGACUGCAAGAAGAUCAAACCGAUCCAUUCUGAAGGAAAUCAACCCUGAGUGCUCACUGGAAGGACAGAUCCUGAAGCUGAGGCUCCAAUACUUUGGCCACCUCAUGAGAAGAGAAGACUUCCUGGAAAAGACCCUGAUGUUGGGAAAGAUUGAGGGCACAAGGAGAAAGGGACGACAGAGGACGAGAUGGUUGGACAGUGUUCUCGAAGCUACCAGCAUGAGUCUGACCAAACUGCGGGAGGCAGUGGAAGACAGGAGUGCCUGGCGUGCUCUGGUCCAUGGGGUCACAAAGAGUCGGACAUGACUAAACGACUAAACAACAACAACAAGGGCAGGGAGAGCCAACAUGGCGUCCUCCAGAUGUUUAGGACUCUGACUCCCACCAGCCCCAACAUGUAUGGCCAGUGCUCAGAGGUGAUGGGAGUUGUAGUCCAAAAAAUCUGAAGGGCACUACAUUGGAUUCUCCUGGUCUUGCAAGCUACAAGUUGAGAUUUACUGAAGCACUUAAGAAAUUUGCCUGGAGAAGAAAAGCAGGUACCAUUAAGAACAGCAAAUGGGGGGGGGGAACACCCUGUUUUUUUAUAUCUAGUUUUACUGUUCAUCGUGAGGCUUGUCUCUUGACAGGCAUAAAUCACAUUUGCAGAUUAAACUAAUUUUCUGUGGCCUAAAAGGGCUUUUCUGGAUCCAGUCAUUACAAUUUUAAUUUAACCAUUUCCAUAUGUGGAGAAAACAUGUCUCGGUGCAAUGAUGUAAAACUUUAUUACAGCAAUUGAGAAACUCAUCUCCUCAUGUUUCUUCUGCACUUUCAUAUGCCUUGGCUGCCGGGAGGUAACGUAAGGAACGUAAAAUUUAAUGAUGCAGUGAUCCAUAAUGAUAACUUGCCCAUAAGUCAUGCAAAGAAGGCCUCAAUGGGGAACAGCUGGUGUGAGAGAGCAUCAUCUCUUUCUAAUUAAUGCCUCAAAAAGGUGUACAGCUAUGUUCAUUAAGGAGUUCACCUGAAUUCAGCAAACUGUAAAGCUGAAAGGUUGCCACUUGCCACAUUAUCAUUAAGCUAUAAGACCCCCUAAGGUCAUUUGCUUAGAUUCAAUGUGACUUUUAUUCAAGAAAAUGUGCUUAGGGUGGAUGGAUCUCCUUGUUUCAUGUCUGUUUUAUGUUCACAUUUCAGCCAUAAUUCCAUUCUAUUUCACACACACACACACACCCCGCAGAUCACCUUUUUGAACUGUUCCUCUCAUCGUAGCAUUUAAAUGCGCAUUUUCCUUCAAAAUGCAAUUUAAAUGUGUACUUUCUCUCAAAAUAUGUAUUUGUUUGCAUAGUUUGGUAUGUCUAAAUUGCCAAGAGUUGUGUCACAACACAGUCAUAGAAGGGCAACAUCUGUGGGAUAGCUAAAUUACAACCUGCAAAGGUAAAGGUAAAGGCGACUAUGGGGUGUUGUGCUCAUCUCGCUUCAGGCCGAGGGAAGCUGGCGUUUGUCCACAGACAGCUUUCUGGGUCAUGUGGCCAGCAUGACUAAACUGGUUCUGGUGCAACGGACACCAUGCUGGAAGCCAGAGCACAUGGAAAUGCCAUUUACCUUCCCGCCACAGGGGUACCUAUUUAUCUACUUGCACUGGCAUGCUUUUGAACUGCUAGGUUGGCAGAAGCUGGGAGAGAGCAACCAGAUCUCACCACUGUUGAGUGGAUUUGAACUGCUGACUUUCUGAUUGGCAAGCCCAAGAGGCUCUGUGGUUUAGACCACAGCACCACCCACAUCCCCAUACCUUUUACCUUCACAACUUGCACAAUAGAUGAAUUGGGACAGUUCAGGAUAUUUCUUAUAAGAACUCUAUAAUACCUAAUUCCCCAAGGAUAGCUACAGGAUUGUAAUGCCAAAGUGUUUUGCUUAAGGAUUCUGAGGCUUAUCUUUUAGCAUGAGCUGAAAUUCAACUUGUAACGUAUUUCAUUCAUCCAUUGCUAUUCACAGAUCUGGAAAAAAGGACUGUGGUCCAGACAAUGGAAUGGAAUCAAGGACAACUGAAAAAUGCUGAGAUAAGAUGAACACUAAAAAGAAGCAAAUCUGUUGGAAUUUAAAGAAAAUGCUUUCAUAGCAUACUUUUAAAAAAGAAGUAAUAAAGACAAUUUUGUUGGGAAUCUGAAGUGAGAUGGCUGCGUAGGAGAAGUUGUCCCUAGUUCCAGUCACCACACAGAGGCAGCUUUAAGGUCCAAAAUAGUUUAUUGCUGAAGAAGAUAAGGCUUCAGAAAUACAGUUCUGGACAUUGACAUACAGCUUGUAGGCUUUGCGGAUACAGAUGCAGAUAUAUACAACCACAUAGUAUCUCUUUUGCUCCAGCUUCAAGACGUAACACAGACUCCAACUCACAUACAGACUCACUGACUGACUAAUGAGCUGACAUGCUUUAAUCACUUAUAUAGAUGGCACUAGGUCAUUGCCAUAGCAACUGGCUUGGCUGACCAUGCACCUGUUGGCUUAUCUCAUACAUGGGGCAAUGUGUGCUCAUGCCCAGUUCCCCCAACAGAAUCUGAUAAGAAUCAAACAAAAACAAGGUGCCCUUAGUGGCAUUUCAAAUAUAACUUGAAGAGGUACAGUCUUCAUUCAGGGUGUAUUCUAUCUCAGGUUUCCUGGAGGAUUUAUUUAUUUUAAAAAACACAGGCCCUUUACAAGGGAAAGGUACUCUGCCCGAGCUCAGAGGCACCAUGCCCUUAGGUCCCUGGGGGAGAAAAUCUUUGUGCCAGAAGUUCUGGAACCAACUGUUGGCAAAUGUGUCUUGGAGCUGAAUUUGAAAAGACUUUGGCCAAAUGUUUGUGAUGAAAAGGGCUCUGAAACUGUAGCCAUUUGCUUUUCAAAUGCCAAGCUAUUUCUGACUAAUUGGAUUAAAAUCCAUUUUAUUGAAAGAUGUCUGAACUAGUCAGGUCCUUAGUGAUACAAAGUGAAGGAAAGUAAAAACACCAAUGAUGAUAGUGAUGCUUUCUAUCAACAUUUCACAUCUGUCCUUAAUGUGAAACAGAUGCAUUCUGGAACAAGCCAUUGUUUUCUACUCGAAUGUGACAAUAUGCUUUGAUGCUUUCUCCUUAAUUGUAACAUCAUGUAAUGAAGACCUCUCACUGUGUGUGUG